AACGUGUGUCACAGUGGACUCACAGACUCUGGUUCCGACGUGAUCGCAGGAAACAGUUUAUUUUUUCCGGACAGUGGCUUGAGGGUACCAUCGUUGAAGACCCCAACGCAGCUGCAGAUUCUCGUGUCCUGGGAGGUACUGGCUUGCAUGGUGACUGUCAGUACCACCCAUCUGCUCUGCCCUCGAGGACUCCGCCAUGCUGCUGGAAGGAAACCAUCACUGUCAUCACUCCCAAUCUCAGAGAAGAGAGACAAGGGGUUCAGAUGGCUUGCAGCACUGGCGGGUGUCAUUCCGGACUCCUGAUGCCGCCAGUCCCUCAGUGAGACGUGAGCGCCAUUGGCGUCCGUGGCCUCUGUUUCCGUGGCAACCCAGUAACCAUUAAUUUUCAAUUAAAGGAGACAAAAAGCUGGAUGACAGCUCUGGGUCUGCUGAAGAUGUCAAGAAUCUGUAUUAAUAUACAGCAAGAGAGCAUAAUUGUGUGUCCAUCUUCCAGAGCGGUGAAAAAUGGGGGGAUAAUUACCGGCUCGAAAGCCACUCUGUAAUUUAGUUCUUACUGUCAC